rnacentral:lncRNA from 1 species
AAAAUAUCUUGUUGUCUUGCUCUGGGAUUGGAAAAAAUAUUGCUCUAUAAUCUCGUGUUUUUUCUUUAGGUUUUUUAGAAAAUAUCUUGCUGUGUGUUCUUGCUGUUAACCUCUUCUUGAUCAAUUGCUUAAAUGACCAAUUUUAAAGCCUUGAAGAAAACUCCUUUUUCAAUUUGUCCCAUCCCAGAUUAUGUGGGAUUCGUU